rnacentral:rRNA from 1 species
UUGGCUUUGCCUGCUAUCUCUUACCCAUGUCUUUUAAGUACCUUACGUUUCCUCGGCGGGUCCGCCCGCCGAUUGGACAAUUUAAACCAUUUGCAGUUGCAAUCAGCGUCUGAAAAAACUUAAUAGUUACAACUUUCAACAACGGAUCUCUUGGUUCUGGCAUCGAUGAAGAACGCAGCGAAAUGCGAUAAGUAGUGUGAAUUGCAGAAUUCAGUGAAUCAUCGAAUCUUUGAACGCACAUUGCGCCCCUUGGUAUUCCAUGGGGCAUGCCUGUUCGAGCGUCAUUUGUACCUUCAAGCUCUGCUUGGUGUUGGGUGUUUGUCUCGCCUCUGCGUGUAGACUCGCCUCAAAACAAUUGGCAGCCGGCGUAUUGAUUUCGGAGCGCAGUACAUCUCGCGCUUUGCACUCAUAACGACGACGUCCAAAAGUACAUUUUUACACUCUUGACCUCGGAUCAGGUAGGGAUACCCGCUGAACUUAAGCAUAUCAAA